UACUCCAAUAGAUGAAGUCAAAGCUCCAAAUUUAUUUGAGCGGGCAGCAGAAGAAUAUCAGGCCCUUAUCCAAACGAUUCACUCUAAGAAUGAAAUUACCAAUGCUGCAUCAAUUCUGAAGGAAGCAAUGCCUCUCUCGGAAAUGAGUUCAAAUGAGAAAAUGCCAAUCAAUGAAGUGAAGGGGCCAAAUAUUUUUGAGAGAGCAGAAGAUGAAAUGCAGGCACUUGUUCAUGGCAUCCAUGAUAAGAAGGAAACUGAUUCGCCAGGAAAAGAAGGAUUUCUGUCAAAACUGGGAAAUUGUUUGGAAAUAAUAUGCUCUCCUUCA